CUUACCCUAAUCUCCAUCCCUUUCUCCCAUAUUUACCCCUAAUUCAAUGUCAGUCGCCCAAACCAUCCGAGCAAUCAUAUGUAUAAUCAAUAAGGUUUUAUGAUUGAAAUCUGUUAUGAGUUUUCUUUUUGAUUGAAAUCGACUUUCAACAAAACUGUUUGUUUACCCACAACAUCAAAUUAAUGCGAACUUAAAUCACCGGCGACGCUUCAAAUGGCAAAUGGGAUAUGUUCAAUGGGUAACACCAUAAAUGGUAGCGAAGACGGUGGCGAUGGGAGAACCUCGUCAUCCACCUAGGGUUUCAAUUGCAUAUUUCGUCUACUAAACAUCACAACUGCAAAAUCUUGAAGGAGGCAGAGCCACCGUUACUGUCACCGGAAUAAUCUCGUAAUCUCACAGGUUUAAAAAUUCCUUGUUAAAUCCGAAUGACACAUGGGUGUUGCCAUACCUUCAGUUUAUUGUUGUAGAAAUUCGGUUCCAAUGUAUGCUAAAGUCUCUGCAGUUCACGUCUUCAUCUUCUUUGAUUCGCCUGCAAUUUAAGUUGACGGUGUUAUAAGAGCAGCAGGGGGUUGGGUUCGGCGAGUCGAACUUGUCACGACGAUGGCUAUGGAUUUCGGCAAUGGAAGACGACAAGACAUCUUCUCGAGUUCUCGGUCCAAUGGUCUAUCUUAAUCUCUCUUUUCCAGUUCUUGGAUGCGUUUAUUAGUUGAAAAUUUACAUCUUUCGGAUGGUUUGGAAACAGAGGACAGGGCCGAAUCACGUUGAUAUAAUCAUGUUUACAUUGAAAUAUUCGUUUUUAUAUACUUCUUUUUAAAACUUCUUUUUAAAUCAAAAUGGAUAAUAAAAGAAAUUUGUUUU